rnacentral:rRNA from 1 species
AACGAACGCUGGCGGCAGGCUUAACACAUGCAAGUCGAACGCCCCGCAAGGGGAGUGGCAGACGGGUGAGUAACGCGUGGGAACGUGCCCUUCGCUUCGGAAUAGCCCCGGGAAGCUGGGAGUAAUACCGGAUACGCCGUAUUGGGAAAGAUUUAUCGGCGAAGGAUCGGCCCGCGUUAGAUUAGCUAGUUGGCGGUGUAAUGGACCACCAAGGCUACGAUCUAUAGCUGGUCUGAGAGGAUGAUCAGCCACACUGGGACUGAGACACGGCCCAGACUCCUACGGGAGGCAGCAGUGGGGAAUCUUGGACAAUGGGCGCAAGCCUGAUCCAGCCAUGCCGCGUGAGUGAAGAAGGCCUUAGGGUUGUAAAACUCUUUCGCCGGAGAAGAUAAUGACGGUAUCCGGAGAAGAAGCCCCGGCUAACUUCGUGCCAGCCGCCGCUGUAAUAC